rnacentral:lncRNA from 1 species
UUAUGUUUCUUAGGUUCAUCUGUUGCAAGCAACGAAAACUGCUUUUGCAAAUUAAAAAGGAUCUUUUGAAAGGCUAAAAGAGAACUGGCAACCAAAGGGAAGGAGGGUAUGGAUAGGGGCAGGGCAGUGGAGAAAAGACACAAGAGUGACUCUAAGUAUGGUACAAGAACUGAAUCUUAACCAUCUCAAAGGCAGAAAGAAGAUCAAGAGCUUUCUCAGGGUGGAUCUCUAAUCUCUCGCAAAACAUGUCUCAAGACAAAAGCUAUGCUUGACUCUCACUGCAUUGCCAAGCAGAAAAUUAAAUCAAUAAUCAAAAGAACCUGAAUGGCUGCUUUUUAAUCUUUGAAAGAGAAUGUGAAAGAGAAAAUAAAUGGGCAUUUGGGAAGUGCUCCAACUACAUUGUUUAGGGCUUUUUUUUUUGUACUG